rnacentral:rRNA from 1 species
UACGUAGGGGGCAAGCGUUGUCCGGAUUUAUUGGGCGUAAAGAGCGUGUAGGCGGCCAGGUAGGUCCGUUGUGAAAACUCGAGGCUCAACCUCGAGACGUCGGCGGAAACCCUCUGGCUAGAGUCCGGAAGAGGAGAGUGGAAUUCCGUGGUGUAGCGGUGAAAUGCGCAGAUAUCAGGAAGAACACCCGUGGCGAAGGCGGCUCUCUGGGACGGUACUGACGCUGAGACGCGAAAGCGUGGAGAGCAAACAGG